CCUACGGGUGGCAGCAGUAUGGAAUCUUUCACAAUGGGCGAAAGCCUGAUGGAGCAACGCUGCGUGCAGGAUGAAGGCCUUCGGGUUGUAAACUGCUUUUAUAAGCGAGAAAUAUGAUGGUAACUUAUGAAUAAGGAUCGGCUAACUACGUGCCAGCAGCCGCGGUCAUACGUAGGAUCCGAGCAUUAUCCGGAGUGACUGGGUGUAAAGAGUUGCGUAGGUGGCAUAAUAAGUAGCUAGUGAAAUCUGGUGGCUCAACCAUUCAGACUAUUAGCUAAACUGUUAAGCUCGAGACCGUUAGGGGUAACUGGAAUUUCUAGUGUAGGAGUGAAAUCCGUAGAUAUUAGAAGGAACACCAAUAGCGUAGGCAGGUUGCUGGGACGGUUCUGACACUAAGGCACGAAAGCGUAGGGAGCAAACGGGAUUAGAUACCCGAGUAGUC
rnacentral:rRNA from 1 species